rnacentral:rRNA from 1 species
CAGGGGGUGAAUCUAGGUGGGAGUCUUGGUUGAAAUUAGUUUGUUGGUGCAGAACCCAACAAUUUUUAGUUAGACGGAAAGACCCCGGGAGCUUUGACUUGUUCUUUAUCUGGGGCGGAGGCAUAUUUUUCAUGUGUUUUGUGAUCCCUUGUGGGUAAAAGGGUUAAGUUACCCCGGGGAUAACUAGGUAAGAGGCGAGGAGAGGUCGCAUCGAUUCGCCUGUUUGCCAUCUCGAUGUUGACUUGAGGGUAGCAGGGGGGUGUAGAGGCUUCCUUGUUUUGGUCUGUUCGACCUUGGUCCCUUUCAUGAGCUG